rnacentral:rRNA from 1 species
GAUCCGUAACCUUGGGAAAAGGAUUGGCUCUGAGGGCUGAGCCGGUCGGGCUGGGGUCCAGAAGCAGGAAUGGCACUGCACCGGGACUGGGCGAGGCUCGCCGCCGUAAAAAGCGGUGCGGCCGAGCCCGGACCAGCGUCGGGACCUUCCUGUGGAAAGCCACAGCUGUGCUUGUUUCCAUGGGCUUCGUGCCUGGAGGUUCUUGCUUCGGCCGGCAGAAAACAGCCAACUCAGAACUGGCAC